rnacentral:lncRNA from 13 species
CUGCCUCAGCUGUGAGGCCAGGAAUGUCUCCGGGGCCAGAGCCUUCUGUUUACUGCUGGUCAGCCUUGGCAGGGGAUGAGGUGAGACCUGGGCUGUUUUCUGACAUGCAGGGAUGCAGGAAGAACUGGUAGAAACCACGUGCAAUCAUCAGGAAAGGAACAGUAAGGAGCUGUGGUUUAGCUGUGAAUCCACCUCAUGCACCUUUAUGCAGGGAAAUCGGGGCCCAUGGCAGAGGUGGUUCUGGUGGCCAUCGGAGAGGCUGCCAUGAAGAUCCUGCUUCUCUUCCUCUGCCUCAUCAUCCUCAGAGUGAAGUCCUACAGGAGGAAGGCAGCAAAGGCAGCUGCAGGUGUGGAGGCUGCAAAGGUUGUCAAUGGUUAAUCUCUCAGGUGCUCCCUGAACUCCUGCCCAGGGGACUUUCUGCAGCCCCAGGGAGCCCCAUCUGGCCUCCUGAGCUAGCCCCUUCGUCUUCCUGGCUGUGCCUUUCCAUCCACAGAUCAUUUCAUGGGUUACCCAUGUUUUUGGGAGCAAGGGUCCUGUUGUUCUGUAAAUAACAGUUAAGAAAGUGGAAAGAAAAGUGGACAGGGAAAGUCUCUGAAAUACACAUAUCUGACUUAGGUCUUGUCUCCAGAAAAUAUAAAGGAC